rnacentral:rRNA from 1 species
GGCAGCAGUGGGGAAUAUUGCACAAUGGGCGAAAGCCUGAUGCAGCGACGCCGCGUGAGGGAUGACGGCCUUCGGGUUGUAAACCUCUUUCAGCAGGGAAGAAGCGAAAGUGACGGUACCUGCAGAAGAAGCGCCGGCUAACUACGUGCCAGCAGCCGCGGUAAUACGUAGGGCGCGAGCGUUGUCCGGAAUUAUUGGGCGUAAAGAGCUCGUAGGCGGCUUGUCGCGUCGGUUGUGAAAGCCCGGGGCUUAACCCCGGGUCUGCAGUCGAUACGGGCAGGCUAGAGUUCGGUAGGGGAGAUCGGAAUUCCUGGUGUAGCGGUGAAAUGCGCAGAUAUCAGGAGGAACACCGGUGGCGAAGGCGGAUCUCUGGGCCGAUACUGACGCUGAGGAGCGAAAGCGUGGGGAGCGAACAGGAUUAGAUACCCUGGUAGUCCACGCCGUAAACGGUGGGCACUAGGUGUGGGCGACAUUCCACGUCGUCCGUGCCGCAGCUAACGCAUUAAGUGCCCCGCCUGGGGAGUACGGCCGCAAGGCUAAAACUCAAAGGAAUUGACGGGGGCCCGCACAAGCGGCGGAGCAUGUGGCUUAAUUCGACGCAACGCGAAGAACCUUACCAAGGCUUGACAUACACCGGAAACGUCCAGAGAUGGGCGCCCCCUUGUGGUCGGUG